CCCCGCCCUCGUCCGACGAGCACCCGCGCCUGUUACCUGCAGCGCAGCCGGCGCGGUCCAGUGAAAGCGCCUCUUCAGCAGCCCGGAGACCUGGCAGGGAGAGAGGAAGAUGACGGCGGGACGCAGGGUGGGCAGGGGUCGCGUGGGAAUACAGGCCGCGCGCUGCUGCCUACCUCCCGAAGGGGUCUCCGCACCAAGCCAGACACCGCCGCCAUCUUGGUCGUGUCCUCUAUCCGCUGCCAAACGACAACAGAGGGGCCGGCAGACGUGAGCAGGCCCCGCCUCCACCGGCGCGGGCCAAUGGCAAGGCGCGCCGGCUGCGUGACCCGCCCACCCGCCCACCGGGUGAGGGGCCGCGGGGCCGGGCUGAGGUGGCGUGUGGGUGGCCGUGCCCCUCUGCCUGGAGCCGCCUCAAAUCAACUUUAUUGACAGUAGGCGGUGACCGACAGGCGGGGUGCACGCUGGGCACACGUGCCUGGUCGGUGUUACUUGAAGCGUGGGGACUAGAAGUCAGACCCUGAGGAGCAUGAUCUCUGGAAGCUGGAGAGACCUUAAGAGUUAGGCCAACCUGUUGUGGGUGCUGGAAUCCUUUGGGCACCAAGAAGUGCUUGCACACGCUCUACUGAUGGGGAACUUAACACUUCAUGAGUUUACCUUCUUUCCUGCUCUUGGUUGAGAUUUGCGGACCUUUGUAUCCACUGUGGUCUCCUUGGAACAAGCAACUGGAAAUUCUUCACACCAGCUAUGGCUGGUAGGAAUUUCGGGCCACAACUCAGGCUUCCAGACUCUGGACGGUAUUCCCAGAGUCAGCUCCCUUCUGAAUUGGGAGAAAGAGAGAAAGGAAAAUACAAGAAGACCCAACCAUGUGGAUUAACACCCUAUAGCAUGAUCCAGGCCCACAGCCAGCUCUGUGUUUCCAGAGUCAUAAUGGUGAAGAGGAUGGUGACAUCCAAGGACAACCACAGGGCCUCUCUCCUGACACUGGUGAGAACCAGAUUCCUUUCCCUGGUUCUGUAGCUCCCAGCAGAGUUUUGGAAGCUGAUUAAAGAGAAUGUUGGAAAUAACAGGCAAUUAGAAACCUUAUUAAAAAAAGGAAAAACACUCUCA